UACGAAGGGGGCUAGCGUUGCUCGGAAUUACUGGGCGUAAAGCGCACGUAGGCGGCGACUCAAGUCAGAGGUGAAAGCCCGGGGCUCAACCCCGGAACUGCCUUUGAAACUAGGUUGCUAGAAUCUUGGAGAGGUCAGUGGAAUUCCGAGUGUAGAGGUGAAAUUCGUAGAUAUUCGGAAGAACACCAGUGGCGAAGGCGACUGACUGGACAAGUAUUGACGCUGAGGUGCGAAAGCGUGGGGAGCAAACAGG
rnacentral:rRNA from 1 species